GGAUCAUUACUGAGUUAUUUUGAUUUUAUAUCAAAACUCUCCACCCUUUGAUUCUUAUUGUAAAGAAUUUAGCUUCGGUAGGACUGUUGUAAAAAACAACUGGCAAUUUUAAAUUGUUGGUUUGUGCCUACCGAUAGCAUCAAAAACUCGAAUAAUUUGUUUGUCUGAUUCAAAAUUUUAAUAAAUUAAAACUUUCAACAACGGAUCUCUUGGUUCUGGCAUCGAUGAAGAACGCAGCGAAAUGCGAUAAGUAAUGUGAAUUGCAGAAUUCAGUGAAUCAUCGAAUCUUUGAACGCACAUUGCGCCUCAGGGUAUUCCUUGAGGCAUGCCUGUUCGAGCGUCGUUUAAACCCAUAAAGCUUUGCUUUGUUUUGGAUUUUUGUUUUUACUACAAAACAAAUCCUAAAAUUAUUGGCAUCCGAUUUGGCCUAAUAACACAUCAACUUGUAUUAUUUUAUCAAAUAAGGAUUGUUAACCAACCCCAAAAUUUAAAUGUCGACCUC
rnacentral:rRNA from 1 species